CAUAGGUAUUGGUUUGGUUAAGGGAUCUCACCGGAGUCAUAGCGAAAGCGAGUCUUCAUAGGGCAAUUAUCACCGCUUAUGGACCCGAAUCUUGGUGAUCUAGCCCUAACCAAGAUGAAACUUGCGUGAAACUAAGUGGAGUCUGAACCGACUGAUGUUGAAGAAUCAGUGAUAUGAAUUGUGGUUAGGGAUGAAAUGCCAUUUGAACUCAGAGCCAGUUAG
rnacentral:ncRNA from 1 species